rnacentral:rRNA from 1 species
GCGCGUCAACAUAGCAAUAUGUGGCAUACGGCUCAGUAACACGUAGUCAACAUGCCCAGGGGACGUGGAUAACCUCGGGAAACUGAGGAUAAACCGCGAUAGGUCAUCACUUCUGGAAUGGGUAAUGACUUAAAUCUACAUGGCCCCUGGAUUGGACUGCGGCCGAUCAGGCUGUUGGUGAGGUAAUGGCCCACCAAACCUGUAACCGGUACGGGCUCUGAGGGGAGGAGCCCGGAGAUGGGCACUGAGACAAGGGCCCAGGCCCUAUGGGGCGCAGCAGGCGCGAAACCUCUGCAAUAGGCGAAAGCUUGACAGGGUUACUCUGAGUGAUUUCCGUUAAGGAGAUCUUUUGGCACCUCUAAAAAUGGUGCAGAAUAAGGGGUGGGCAAGUCUGGUGUCAGCCGCCGCGGUAAUACCAGCACCCCGAGUGGUCGGGACGUUUAUUGGGCCUAAAGCAUCCGUAGCCGGUUCUACAAGUCUUCCGUUAAAUCCACCUGCUUAACAGAUGGGCUGCGGAAGAUACUAUAGAGCUAGGAGGCGGGAGAGGCAAGCGGUACUCGAUGGGUAGGGGUAAAAUCCGUUGAUCCAUUGAAGACCACCAGUGGCGAAGGCGGCUUGCCAGAACGCGCUCGACGGUGAGGGAUGAAAGCUGGGGGAGCAAACCGGAUUAGAUACCCGGGUAGUCCCAGCUGUAAACGAUGCAGACUCGGUGAUGAGUUGGCUUAUUGCUAACUCAGUGCCGCAGGGAAGCCGUUAAGUUUGCCGCCUGGGGAGUACGGUCGCAAGACUGAAACUUAAAGGAAUUGGCGGGGGAGCACCACAAGGGGUGAAGCCUGCGGUUCAAUUGGAUUCAACGCCGGG